UCACUUCAGGAGUCACUAAAACUGGAAUUAGCCAGAGAAGUUAACUUGGCCCCUCUGCAAACAUGAAAUAUUGAUCCAUGAAGUGUCCCACAUUUAA
rnacentral:snRNA from 1 species